rnacentral:lncRNA from 1 species
CCACCUUCUGGUUUCCAGUCCGCUCUCUCUGUGGACAAUUAGUGUGUUGCAUCUGCUGGUCAGUCAUUCUUUUUGUUGUUGUUGUUUUGGGUUUUGUGGGUUUGUUUUUGUUUUGUUUUUAGACAGGGUUUCUCUGUGCAGCCCUGGAUGUACCGGAACUCUGUAACACGGCUGGCCUGGAACUCAAGAGAUCUGUCUGCCUCAAAUACUGGGAUUAAAGGUGUGCUCAACCACCGCUCAGCAAGUCAUUCUUUGUCCAGGUACUGAGCGCUGACUGAGCUAGGGAUGCAGAAAAAGUUGUCAUGUGCUCAUUCAUCCUAUUGAGAACUUUACGACUGUAAUGGAGGCCAAGGUUGAAGGCAUUGCUGCGUGGCUAGUCUAUUACACGCACAAGAUGGUUACAAGAACACCUAACGGAAUGACCAAGGAUCGAGGAAGCCAUCUGAACCAUGAUGGCCCUUCGCAGAUGACUUAAGAGAGUUUUGCUUAUCUCUUUAUGCGGAUGGACCUCUUUAAUUUGAUCACCAAAUAGUAUGAGAAAACUCUGACACAUUAAAGCAACACACGCCAGGAAAUUAUUGAUCACCAGGCCAGUGCUUGAGCCACAAAUAAUCUAUAGUUG